GAUGGCAUCUGAAAAUGAAUUUUGUAAUACAGAAGAAAUUUUGCAGACACUUGAUCAUGACCAAAAAAAAAAAAAACCAACUUGAAAAUGCUUAAUUCAAGCAGACUACUGGCUACUGUAUUCUGCUUUCUAUGGAUUUGAAAUCAUUUUUUUUUAAUGUUUUGUCUAUCAUUCUUUCUAUUAUCUUUACAUUACAAUUAGUGUAGUUCGAUUACAAACUUGCAUAUGGUUUCUUCAAGGUGACUGUAAUUGUACAUUUUUUAGUUUUAUUUUUAUAUUUUUUUGUAGUUUUUUGUUAAUUUUAUAACUGUUCUUUUUUCAUGUUUUCAGCUAAACUGUCAUGUUUAAUUUAUGAAAUGGAAAAAAAGAAUUAGAAUUAAGAAAAUGUAACUACAAUAGUUAGUAUUAAAGUAGGGAAUAGGCUAUUUCUAAUGUUAAUGUGUUUAUUUUAGUUUCUCAUACAAAUUAUGCUACACUACACACACACAUACACUGUUUGUAAUAUAAUCUUUGUAGUAAGUAUAGUGAGUAGAACAAUUCUGUAUAUUUUGACUUUGUUAAAAAUCUAAUGACAUUAAUGUCAAAACACACAUUUAGUGACAUGUAACAAGGUAAAUAUAUCAAUUACUUUAUUUGGAACCAGCAGAACUUGUAACUCUAAUUUAUAAACACACAUUUGUCCCCCUCUUUACUCGCACGCAUCAGACACACUUUUAAGCACAUAUAUUUAAUUAUAUUUUGAAUUUAGAUAAAAUACAUUGACCUAUUUGUUUUAAUAUGAAAUAUGCCAUCUUGCAAUUUUGCAUAAUGAAUUUCUAUGCAUAAAUAUUUUGUUUUCUUUUCCUUGAUAACCAAUGAAUAUAAAUGAAAAGCAAUGGUUUCUCUUUUUCCGUGAAUAUUUAAAUUCUGGAAGAAUAAUAACAAUGGAAAAUGAUUGGAUAAUCUAAAUACAUAUUAAUAAUGGGUGAAGUAACAAUGGAAGGAAAUUAUUAUAAAGUUCUGUAUAAAAAUGGAGAAAUAAAACAAUAACAAACCAAAAACUAGAUUUAUCACUUUCUCUUUGCUAAUGCAUUCAUUAGCAUAAAUUGAAUUUGCAAAUAUGUUUAUACAUUGUGAAGGCAUGUGGCGUAGUGGUUAGGGUGUUAGACUCAUAAUCACUAAAUUGUGGUUUCAAUUCUUGAACUGGGUGGAGUAUUGUUUUUUGAGUGAAAUACUUUUUUCUCGUUGUUCUAGUCCAGUCAACUGUAAAUGAUGAUUCUGUGAUGAACUGGCAUCUUGUUCAGAGGGAAUGUUUUGAUCUUGGUCACUUACUCACCAAGGAAAUUGGGUAACCAGCCUUAUCAGUCCUAGAUCAGACACUAAGAAAUGAUGGAUACUAAGGCAUGAUGUAUGUAGUAGAUGAGUUUAAUAGUGUGUAGUUUACUGUUUGACAGUUCAGUAGUUGAACAAAACACCUCGUUUCAUGUUGUUCCAGUCCUACUGGCUGUAAAUAAGUAACUCUGUGAUGAACCUACAUCCCAUUCAGAGAGAACAUUGUGAUUUCAGUCACUUAUUUGCUAUGCAUAAGCAGUCUUAUGAGUCAUAGAUUACUGUAAUCCCUCACCAUAUCACAGUUCACCUACCAUAGUUUAUUAUAAGCUUCUGUUGCUUCGUUUAAGUCAUCCUGUAAAGAAGAAAGUGUACCUUCAGCUUAGAUUAUUAUGAGGCUCCGAGUCAUCUGGAUUUCUGAGUCACAGACCGUGGCAUCCUGUUCAUAUUUUGAAUAAAAACUAUACGUUUUUCAGAUUAACAAAUAAAAAAUUUAUAGGAGUUGAGCUCCCUAUUAAUAACUUAUAAGAUACUUGUCUCUUAGACAAUGCUUACAGCAAUUACUGUACAUAUCUUAAGGUACUUAGUUAUUCAGUUUCGAUUUCAAUGUAGUGCUAAUAGGGAAUAUAAACAGCACCUUAAUCAGUAGAAUACUUUAUUGGACUGGACAAUCAUUUCUGUAUUAAAAACCUGCAACAAGCUGCUAGAUAUUAUAUUUCUAUUUCCCCAUUGUUGAAUGAAGCUUCCGCAUACUGUAACCAGCUUAUCUAUUUUGGUUAUAGUGUUAACUAAAUGUUGUUAUGAUUAGGUGGUUAGCUCUGAUCAAUUGCCUUCUUGCUGUAAUUUGAACUCAGAACAAAGAAUCAGAACAGAUAUUGCAACAAAUCUCUUUCAGUGCUCAAACCAUUCUUAUUUCUUUACUACCCACAAGGGGUUAAACACAGAGGGGACAAACAAGAAC